GAUUCUCAUUUCCCUGAUGACCAGUGAUACUGAGCAUGUUUUCAUGGAAGCGCAUCAUUUUUUUACACAGCAGCUUUUACGUGAAGACUUUCUGGAUGAUUCUGGUUUAUACUGAUUUCCUUUUCCAAUUUCCUUUGGCUUCUAAUUCGUAUUUUAAAUGCAAAGGCCCUCAGUCUCAGUUGUCUUGUGUUCUGAACUAAGAUGGACUCCUUGAGGCUUUUGUAGAUAGGUUUACUUUGCUGCCUUCUUUUGUAUUCCUCACAGUACCUAGUGUUGCUUUUGUAAUUACCCUUUAAGAAAUACUUCAUUGACUCAGGAGGUUAAGGCCGUCUUGAUCUCACUUAGUGCCCAGAUGGACGUGAUUUCUC